rfam:Aedes albopictus isolate Foshan contig76017, whole genome shotgun sequence.
UGUUCUGUGGCUUACUUGGUUAAACCGCCGGUUUAGUGAAUACGGAGUCAUGGGUUCAAACCCCAUCAGAAUGC